AGCACGCACAGUUUCCUUUUGUUCUUUCUUCAUGAAAGAAAGGAACAGAAGCAAAAGAAAAACGAGAUAGAGGGGAGAAGAGGGAGGCGGCGCGGUGGGAGUCACUGCCAUCGUCGCCGCCGUCGUUAACAAAGAGGAAGGGAGAUCUGAACGAGAAGAGAGUGAGUGACGCGAGGGAGGGAGAUGAGGCUUCGUUGCCGUCACGCUCUGCCGCACGCGGGGAGCGCCGCUGUCGAAGCCAUGCCCUGCGUCCCUGCCCGGUCGCGAUUCUGCCACUGCCAACUCUGCCGUCACUGCUUCCAUAACCUCCAACAGCACUGCUGUUGUCGACGAUAGAGCUGCCGCGAAGAGGAGGAAGGGCGCUGCUUCAAGCCUCGCCGCCAUCGCUGCUCUGAAAGGGUCUGUAGUGGUCGCCGUCGAGCAUGACAGGUGGAUGCGAAGGAGAACUCGCGUCUGAGUCUGGGAGGAGGUGGGGAUCCGCCGCUGUCGCCAGUGGAGGCCACUGCUGUGCAACGGACGUGUGAGAGGGAAGCAAGAUGAAUCCUUUCUGCUUCUGGUGCUCUGGUCUGCCGCCGCCGCCGCCGGGAUCCUUGGGCGCUGCCAUUGUUCUUGUCGCCAUUAAAGAAAGCUAACUGCUGCUGCCAUUCAGAUCCGCCACAGUCUCUGUCGGGAGCCACCAUGGGAGCCGUGGAAGGAGGGGUUUCUGCCACCUUUGAAACUCCACUACUGUUGUUGUCAUGGCUGCCACGCCUUUGGCUGCCGGGAUCGGUAUUGUGGCCGCCAGAAACUGUUUUUCUUGGGUUGAGUUCCGAUAAAUGUGCAUCGAAACUAAGGUGGUUGUUGAGCCACCGGAGCUUUCUGCCGCUACGGGGCUGUUGUCAGGUCGGUUCGGAGUCGCAGUUGUUCCUUUGUGUUAUUUCGUGUUGCUAUGGUUGUUGCGAACGUGA